rnacentral:rRNA from 1 species
CAGCAGCAGCCGCGGGAAUACGUAGGUGGCAAGCGUUGUCCGGAAUUAUUGGGCGUAAAGGGCUCGCAGGCGGUUUCCUAAGUCUGAUGUGAAAGCCCCCGGCUCAACCGGGGAGGGUCAUUGGAAACUGGGAAACUUGAGUGCAGAAGAGGAGAGUGGAAUUCCACGUGUAGCGGUGAAAUGCGUAGAGAUGUGGAGGAACACCAGUGGCGAAGGCGACUCUCUGGUCUGUAACUGACGCUGAGGAGCGAAAGCGUGGGGAGCGAACAGGAUUAGAUACCCCUGUAGUCCCUGUCUCUUAUAC